AAUUCUCAAGGAUUGACGAUGGCUUAACAAGGAAUAUAUGGGAGUUCAAUUCUCCUAGCUUCUGAAGCUGAUCAACACAUUUUUUGC
rnacentral:sRNA from 1 species